AGUUUUCUCUCUUUCUCUCUCUAAAUUAUCGAGCGUAUUCUUGUGAGUAUACUUUGAGUGUUGCUAUACGGUGCGGGUUUCUGUCAGCACUAUACCGAAAUUCAGUCAGAAGUACGGUUAUUUUGAGGUAAGGGGUAUUAUUUUCUUCUUAAAUGAUAUUUUUUCUUCAAUAUCAUUAUGCCGAAGUAUUGGUGAACUUUUUUAUCAAAUUUGGAACUUGUUGUGUCGGGGUUACUAUUCACGUAUACGGCACUAUUCACGUAUACGACACUAUUCACGAAUACGGCACUAUUCACCGAAAAAUAAAAAUUUUUCUUUUUGUCCAAAAUAUCUAUUCUGGAUACUAGCUUUGAUUGUAUCCAUGUUUUGAUCAUUCUUGAAUUUUACACCAAUAUGAUUAUUUUCGAAGUAUUUUUGGACAUGGGUAAAACAAAGUACGAAUCCUUAAUCCUUAAUCCUUGUCAUUUUGUUUCACUGGAUUCGUUUCUUUAAAAAUGUUUUUCAUCAUCCUCAGUCCUAAAUGGUGAUAUAAAUGAAUAUCUUUGGCCUGUAGUGCAAAGAUGAACGAUUAACUGAUGAAUAUCUUUGGCCUGUAGUGCAAAGAUGAACAGGUGUUGAGAUGAACAUGACCAACUGGUGAUACAAAUGAAUAUCUUUGGCCUGUAGUGCAAAGAUGAUUAAAGAUGUAUAUUGAUUGUUAUUACAGGGAUAAACUAUUGAUGAUGGACUUUUAAACCUUAGAAGACAGUAGAAUUCUUUCUCUACGUGACUCUUCUAAUGGAUUGCUGUUUCCGCUGCAUUUGUUGAUCUAAAACUUGUUGUCUAUUGUAUUCUAUUAGAUUUUUCCCUGUUGAAGACUAACGAUAAUUUGUUGUAUAUUAUCUUAGUCAUAAUAUUCUUUACUGGGCUAGUUGAGCUCACCCUUUUCCUUUUUGUUCCAUUUUUCUUCUCAGGAGGUGAGAACAUAGCAGGAUCGAGUCGGGGUAUGGAGUGAUGGUUCUAGGAAGAUGUUUUAGCUGUCCUCACUAUUUCUGUAAAAUAGUGUAUGAAUAAUUAAUGAGGAUUUAUUUGGGUG
rnacentral:lncRNA from 1 species